rnacentral:rRNA from 1 species
AAUGAACGCUGGCGGCAGGCCUAACACAUGCAAGUCGAACGGAUCCUUCGGGAUUAGUGGCGGACGGGUGAGUAACGCGUGGGAACAUACCCUUUGGUACGGAAUAGCCUCGGGAAACCGGGAGUAAUACCGUAUGUGGUCGAGAGACGAAAGAUUUAUCGCCAAAGGAAUGGCCCGCGUUGGAUUAGGUAGUUGGUGGGGUAAUGGCCUACCAAGCCGACGAUCCAUAGCUGGUUUGAGAGGAUGAUCAGCCACACUGGGACUGAGACGCGGCCCAGACUCCUACGGGAGGCAGCAGUGGGGAAUCUUAGACAAUGGGGGAAACCCUGAUCUAGCCAUGCCGCGUGAUCGAUGAAGGCCUUAGGGUUGUAAAGAUCUUUCAGGUGGGAAGAUAAUGACUGUACCACCAGAAGAAGCCCCGGCUAACUCCGUGCCAGCCGCCGCGGUAA